UUGGAAAGGAUUACACAGAGAAACAGGCCAAGGUUUCCCCAUGCUGAGGGUGUCCUCCCUCCCCAGCGGUUCAGCCCUCCCAGUUACCCUUUCACAGUGGGUUUGUUCCAUUACUGUGCCAGAAAAGUGUGUUGGUGACAGAAAAAGCAGAGUGUGUCUGUGAUCUUUGCAGGCUGCCUGGCAGAGCCGGCUCUGUCCUUGCCAUGCUGCCAUGAGGGGCUCUGACACCUCGGCUCCCAGCCUCCAGAAACGCUCUGUGUUCACACCAUGCUCCUUUUGUUCAGACUAUUUCCACAGACUCCAUGUUUGUGAAGCCCAGGAAUCAGAACUCACUUUUCUGCAGAAAACCGGAGCCUGGCUGAGUGUGCUGAUGCCACGUGGAUUUUCCCUGAGCCUACCUUGAUGAGAAGGAAACCUUCAGCAGCUUCCCUUAGCAGCCAUGCAGAGCCUGGGGCAGAGCUGUGGGGUGGAUUUGCCACAGAGCCUGUGCUGGACCUGCACUGUCUGAUGUGGAGCCACAGCAGGAGCCUCAGCUGCAGAGGAUGUGCCCACCUGGAGUGUCAUGGUGUGUGUCACCUCCUGAAGGAUGGCUCCAUCCUCCCCAGGGCUAACCUGGCUGGUGCCCUGCACAGAGGGGAUACCCACACUACAGCACAUGAACCAGCGCAAGGGAGCUCCAGCUCAGCUGCUGCUGCUUCAGGCCAGAAGACCCCAAACCUGAUGGUUUUGACAUAAAAAAAGAUGAUUUCACUGAUGAAAUUGGCCUGAAACUGGUCAUUGUUGGCCUGAUGAAGGUGCAUUUCAAUAAAGGUAGCUCCUGGA